rnacentral:rRNA from 1 species
UAGGGAAUCUUCCACAAUGGACGAAAGUCUGAUGGAGCAACGCCGCGUGAGUGAAGAAGGGUUUCGGCUCGUAAAACUCUGUUGUUAAAGAAGAACAUAUCUGAGAGUAGCUGUUCAGGUAUUGACGGUAUUUAACCAGAAAGCCACGGCUAACUACGUGUCAG